UUAUAACCUACAUAAGGACCAGCUACCCUACUGUUUUUGGUCAUAUGCAGAAAAAAUAAUCAUCCCCAGGCAUCCUUUAAUCAAAUUAAGAUUUAACACACAUUUACACAGACCUGCUCUGCAUCGCCUCCUUGGUAACAGGAAUUGAGGAGUGGUUUUAUCCAGUAAAGCAGUCCAUAUGCAUCCCCAUUUUAUUUUAGUUAUUGGCUUUUUUGAGACAGGGUCUUGAUACGUAGUUCAGGCUGGCCUUGAACCCAUUAUAUGUUCCAGGCUGGCCUCCAACUCACAACAAUCCUCCUGCCUCAGCCUCCCAAGUGCUGGGAUCAGCUAUGCGUCACCACACCGGGCUUCCCAACCUCUCUCAUGUUUUGCCAGAGUUAUCGGCAUGACUUCCUUCUCGGGCUCUAUCUGUCCUAAGUGUGAAUAAAUGAGAAGCCAGAGGACAUGGCCAACAUAUUCCAAGUCAGCUCAGUUUCCGCUCCAGUCUCGGCCCACAUCACUCCCCUUCUGGAACUCCUGAUGUUGUAUCUGCCUUUGAGGAGCUGGCUCAACUUUCAGUUCUUCCAAGAGCUUCAAGACCUGGCCACUGCUUGCCUGGCUGUUGCGUUGUCCUAUGGACUCCAACGGCUUCCAUCAGCUCCAGAGAGUAUUCAGUGGGCACAGAGGCUCCACCUGCUCCCUUCGCACCCACUGGACACCUUCCUGUUUCCUGUCGCUUGAGCCCAGUGCACACAGCAAGCCAGCGUCCCUGCUGGACAGAAAGAGCCGGAAGUAUGGGGGCUGCCUUCACCUGCUUCUAGAAAUAAACCAUAGGACGAGCAUGGUGCGACGUGAACUGGCUCUGUACACUAAGUGCUGAGAUGGAGCCCUGGGUCGUGGUCAGUCAGCAUGAAACAGAAAGACAAAAGGAGCUAUUUCUGCCGGCGUGGUGACAUGUGCCUGUGAUCCCAGCACUUGGGAGGCUGAGGCAGGAGGAU
rnacentral:lncRNA from 1 species